UACGGGAGGCAGCAGUAGGGAAUUUUCGGCAAUGGGCGCAAGCCUGACCGAGCAACGCCGCGUGAGUGAUGAAGGUUUUCGGAUCGUAAAGCUCUGUUGUAAGGGAAGAAUGGCGCGGAUAGACUCCGCGAUUGACGGUACCUUACCAGAAAGCCACGGCUAACUCCGUGCCAGCAGCCGCGGUAAU
rnacentral:rRNA from 1 species